rnacentral:misc_RNA from 1 species
GGCUGAAUUCCUGGUCUCUUCUGGUUAUACCAACUCAAAAAAACUAUGUAUUGAAGGUGGGAGUAAUGGUGGCCUUCUAGUUGCAGCUUGCAUAAAUCAGCGACCCGAUUUAUUUGGGUGUGCUCUUGCUCAUGUUGGAGUCAUGGACAUGCUGCGGUUCCACAAGUUUACCAUAGGUCAUUGCUGGACCUCAGAUUAUGGUUGUUCAGAUAAUGAAGAAGAAUUCCACUGGCUUAUCAAAUACUCGCCACUCCAUAACGUUCAAAGGCCGUGGGAGAAAUAUGUUGGUCAGCCUUGUCAG